rnacentral:rRNA from 1 species
AGCCUGAUGCAGCCAUGCCGCGUGUGUGAAGAAGGCCUUCGGGUUGUAAAGCACUUUCAGUCAGGAGGAAAGGUUAACGGUUAAUACCCGUUAGCUGUGACGUUACUGACAGAAGAAGCACCGGCUAACUCCGUGCCAGCAGCCGCGGUAAUACGGAGGGUGCGAGCGUUAAUCGGAAUUACUGGGCGUAAAGCGCAUGCAGGUGGUUUGGUCAGUCAGAUGUGAAAUCCCGGGGCUUAACCUCGGAACUGCAUUUGAUACUGCCAGACUAGAGUCUUGUAGAGGGGGGUAGAAUUUCAGGUGUAGCGGUGAAAUGCGUAGAGAUCUGAAGGAAUACCAGUGGCGAAGGCGGCCCCCUGGACAAAGACUGACACUCAGAUGCGAAAGCGUGGGGAGCAAACAGGAUUAGAUACCCUGGUAGUCCACGCCGUAAACGAUGUCUAUUAGGAGUUUGUGUGCUUGACACGUGGGCUCCAAAGCUACGCAUUAAAUAGACCGCCUG